rnacentral:rRNA from 1 species
AAGCUGGAAUCGCUAGUAAUCGCGGAUCAGCACGCCGCGGUGAAUACGUCCCCGGGCCUUGUACACACCGCCCGUCACACCAUGAGAGUCUGUAACACCCAAAGCCGGUGGGAUAACCUUUAUAGGAGUCAGCCGUCUAAGGUAGGACAGAUGAUUAGGGUGAAGUCGUAACAAGGUAGC